rnacentral:misc_RNA from 1 species
GAAAGGAAGGCGUUGUGUAGAUAUGAUGCCUAGGAUUGCUGGAAUGCCACGUUCAAGAGCAAAUUGUACUUGGGCUUCAUGAUUGUCUCUAGGUGCAAGGGAAACAGUUAAAAUUCCACGGCUCAACAAAUCACCUCCCCAACUUGCAACCCCACAGCCAGUAUCAAUUGCAGUUCGGACAGUCCCAUCCUUCAUUCCGGGAAUUAGAUCUUGCAUUAAAUCAACAUAUUCCCCAACUCCGUGAGGAAACAUUGUGCCUCCACCAGGAAAGAGGAAUUUCUCGCCUUCUUUUCUAAGCCAGUUCUGA